rnacentral:lncRNA from 1 species
AUCUGGGAAUACAGGUGCCUGCCACCACACCUGGCUAAUCUUUAUAUUUUUAGUAGAGACGGGGUUUCACCAUGUUGGCAAGACUGGUCUCGAACUGCUGACCUCAAGUGAUCUGCCUGCCUUGGCCUCCCAAAGUGCUGGGAUUACAGGUGUGAGCCAUCACACCCGGCUCUUUUUUUUCUCUUUCUGUUUAAGACACAGAGUCUUGCUAUGUUGCCCAGGCUGGCCUCAAACCCCUGGGCUAAAGCAAUCUUCCUACCUC